UCGCCAUCGCGAUGAAUGUUUGCGAACCAGGUCAGGACAGGAAUGUAGCAGCCUUAAGUAUUAAUGUUCAUGUGCGGUGGUUUUUA
rnacentral:SRP_RNA from 1 species